rnacentral:tRNA from 1 species
ACGCCUAUAGCUCAGUUGGAAGAGCAGUGUUCUUCUAAAGCACUUGUCGGGGAUUCGAGUUCCUCUAGGCGUACCA